AGUGUUAAUUAAGUAUUACUCAUAAACAGCGCUUCUUUUCCUAUUCUGCUGGAGGGGCUGUAUGGAAGUAAUAAUUUUAGGCUAUACCUUACUAUCCAGAGGGAUAAUUUAUAGUACAAGUUAAUACAGUUGCCUCCUAGGCGCCCUAGUAGAUAGACAUAGCUACCUAAGCGUGCGUAAGACAGCAUAAAACAGAUCUUUCUGCCCGUAGACGAACCGUACUAACCUUCGUGUACGAUCCUUCUGGUGGCAACUUUGGAAUGAAAACGACUAUUUGUCUUUAGUAUGCAUCUGACUUAUUUUGUGAGGCACCAUUCAAGCGUGAUCACAAUGAUUUGUGGUCUCCUUUUUUUUUGUUUGUGUACCAUUGCAACGGCAAGCCGUCAUCAUUCAAUUUUGUUCUGUUUGCUCAAGAAUGGCCACCAGCCAUUUGCACGGUAAUGCUUUUGCUGUUCAAUUUUUGACUUGUAGAGUCUUCUGUACGGUAGAUGAAUCCUGAGGACGGGUGCAGAGUGCCUUGAAGUUGGAAUUUGGAUCCAAGAUUGACUAUACAUGGUCUAUGGCCUGCAGUUGAUACUGCAAGAGGUCCAAGUUACUGCAAUGGCUUCUACAAAUUUAACAUGAAUUCAUUAAAGGAUUUGCUGUCCGAACUGAAGUAUGAUUGGCCCUCUGUGUUUGCUGACUCAAGUGACUACAGUUUCUGGAGACAUGAAUGAAGGAAACAUGGAACUUGUGCAAUGUCAGUGGACUUUUUGAACAAUGAACAUGAUUUUUUGAAACUGUCAUAUCAAUUCACAGAAGUUUAAAUAUUUACAAUGCUCUUGUCAACGUAGGAAUUGUUCCAUCAGAGACCGAUACAUAUGACGUAGACAAGAUUAGUUUUGCUAUUACUGCUGCGUAUGGUGUUAAACCAAUGCUUUUGUGCGGCUUUAAUGAGUCAAUUGGGCAGUUUUUGUCAGAGAUCCACUUGUGUAUGGACAAAACUCUACAGCUUAUUGACUGUAGCAGCUUUGCCUAUGUUUAUUCUGCUUGUCAACCUGAAGAGUCAGUGAAGUACAUAACAUCUUUCUGAUGUACAGUUUUGAUGUGUGUGCUAUGGAUGCAUUGAACUGGUUUUGUUUCGAUGUAAAAUGUGAUGUAUCCGUACAUGUUACUUUUUUUGUUAUAGUAUGCUCAUUCUAACAGCGGUCUUCCUUGUCAGCAGUUAUGAACUCAAUAUUACAAGUGCAAGUUGUAACUCAAAAUUAGACUGUCAACCGGCCACAAUGUGAAUACAGUGUGACCGUGACCUCAUAAGGAACUUAUAGCAUCAGAAAUGAAAUGGUGAACGUCCUGAUAGGCAGCAGGUAUGUCACAUCUUCACUAAAAUGUUAUGGGGGUGUACUGUGGCCACUGAAUGGAUCCAAUAGUCCGAAUG